UAGGGAAUCUUCGGCAAUGGACGAAAGUCUGACCGAGCAACGCCGCGUGAGUGAAGAAGGUUUUCGGAUCGUAAAACUCUGUUGUUAGAGAAGAACGACGAGGAGAGUGGAAAGCUCCUCGUGCGACGGUAUCUAACCAGAAAGGGACGGCUAACUACGUGCCAC
rnacentral:rRNA from 1 species